GCGGCGUGCCUAAUACAUGCAAGUAGAACGCACAGGAUGCACCGUAGUUUACUACACCGUAUUCUGUGAGUUGCGAACGGGUGAGUAACGCGUAGGUAACCUGCCUGGUAGCGGGGGAUAACUAUUGGAAACGAUAGCUAAUACCGUAUAAGAACAUUUACUGCAUGGUAGAUGUUUAAAAGGUGCAAGAGCAUCACUACCAGAUGGACCUGCGUUGUAUUAGCUAGUUGGUGAGGUAACGGCUCACCAAGGCAACGAUACAUAGCCGACCUGAGAGGGUGAUCGGCCACACUGGGACUGAGACACGGCCCAGACUCCUACGGGAGGCAGCAGUAGGGAAUCUUCGGCAAUGGGGGGAACCCUGACCGAGCAACGCCGCGUGAGUGAAGAAGGUUUUCGGAUCGUAAAGCUCUGUUGUUAAGGAAGAACGUGUGUGAGAGUGGAAAGUU
rnacentral:rRNA from 1 species